rnacentral:misc_RNA from 1 species
CGUCAAAACUCUCCCCCAUCCUUUCCUUCCUUCUUUCCUUUUCCCUCCUUUUCUCCCAGAGCCUAUAUUCCUCCAGAUUCCCAAUCUCUCUCCCUCUCUCUCUCUCUCUCUCUCUCUCAUAUAGAAUAAUCUUUUCCGUCCUCUCUGUCCAAUGGCGGAAACCUCUGCCCUCUGUUGCUCGCGCUUCUCUUCAAUCCCUUCCAUUUCUCGCUCCUGGGAUUCCAAUUCCUUCCUCUCCACUUCACCUCCCUCUUUUCCCUCUCCUUGUUCUAACUUCUCUUUUUCCCUUUCUCGCUCUUCUCGCUCCUUUCGCUUUACCUCCAAGGCUUCUGAUUCCGGUAACUUCCUCGGCGACGAUUCUCUCGGUUCCUUCCCCUGGUCCGACGGUGUUAAUGCUAUUGAAUGGAUUCAGGAGGAUAAAGUCACGCUGUUCACUGCUGAUGGGCUUGUUCAAAUUGGAGGCUCUUUGGUUCCUCGGCAAGUCAGUUCUUCAGAUAAGAAGCAAGGUUGGUCAAAAACUUCUCAGAGAUUUCAACGAUUUCAAGAGAGUGAUUAUAUGGACCCAAAUCAGGGCUUAUGUUUGGGAGCACUGUUUGAUAUUGCAGCAACAAAUGGACUUGAUAUGGGCAGAAGGCUCUGUAUCUUUGGGUUUUGUCGUUCAGUUGAGAUGCUAAGUGAUAUUGUCGAAGACACUGUUUUGGAGCAUGGUGGGGAGGUUGUUGCUGCAGAGAAGGCAAUCAAAGGUGGUUUGCAUGAAAAGCUAACAAUGACAGUGGCAGUACCAUAUCUUUGGGCUCCUGCUUCAGAAACACUUCGCCUUGCAGUUCGGAGUGGUGGAGGGAUUGUGGAGAAAGUUUAUUGGCAAUGGGAUUUUUUGUAAAUGAAUUGUCAAAUCGUCCUAACCAUCAUUUGUGCAUUGUGUACAUAUAAUGAUCCUGUUCCCAUGUACAAAAUUCAAGAUGUACCAUUCGUGUCCAGUGAUAACUUGAUGUUAGUAUCUAAUCGAUUAUUUCCAACAGUAUGUCCCACUGGCUGUGUUAAAUUUACACUGUUUUAGUGCAUGAACAUUUAAGUUUGAUGUUGCAACUAAAUUCAUGAUACCAAAGCCUCUCUCUCUUACCAUGUAUUGUGAUCAUGGUGUAAUUCGAUUUUGGUAUAUAACAAAAU